rnacentral:rRNA from 1 species
AGUGAACGCUGGCGGUAGGCCUAACACAUGCAAGUCGAACGGCAGCACAGUAAGAGCUUGCUCUUACGGGUGGCGAGUGGCGGACGGGUGAGGAAUACAUCGGAAUCUACUUUUUCGUGGGGGAUAACGUAGGGAAACUUACGCUAAUACCGCAUACGACCUACGGGUGAAAGCAGGGGAUCUUCGGACCUUGCGCGAUUGAAUGAGCCGAUGUCGGAUUAGCUAGUUGGCGGGGUAAAGGCCCACCAAGGCGACGAUCCGUAGCUGGUCUGAGAGGAUGAGCAGGCACAAGGGAACUGAGACACGGGCCAGACUCCUACGGGGGGCAGCAGUGGGGAAUAUUGGAAAAGGGGCGAAAGCCUGAUCAAGCCAUGCCGCGUGGGUGAAGAAGGCCGUGGGGUUGAAAAGCCCUUUUGUUGGGAAAGAAAAGAAGCAGGUUAAUACCCCGCUGUUCUGACGGUACCCAAAGAAUAGGCACCGGCUAACGUCG